UGCCAGCAGCCGCGGUAAUACGGAGGGGGCGAGCGUUGUUCGGAAUUAUUGGGCGUAAAGAGUAUGUAGGUGGUCAAGCAAGUCAGGCGUGUAAGCCCUCGGCUCAACCGAGGAAUUGCGUUUGAAACUAUUUGACUUGAGUACGGAAGAGGAAAGCGGAAUUCCCAGUGUAGCGGUGAAAUGCAUUGAUAUUGGGAAGAACAUCGGUGGCGAAGGCGGCUUUCUGGUCCGAUACUGACACUGAGAUACGAAAGCCAGGGGAGCAAACGGGAUUAGAUA
rnacentral:rRNA from 1 species